rnacentral:misc_RNA from 1 species
GAUGAAGAACGUAGCAAAAUGCGAUAAGUAAUGUGAAUUGCAGAGUUCAGUGAAUCAUCGAAUCUUUGAACGCACAUUGCGCCCGUCAGUAUUCUGACGGGCAUGCCUGUCCGAGCGUCAUUUCAACCCUCAAGCACUGCUUGGCGUUGGCGGAUUGCGUGCCCUCGCGGCGCUGCAACCGCCCAAAUACAGUGGCGGUCCCGCUGCGGCUCCCUUUGCGUAGUAACUCACCUCGCACUGGACCGGGCGGCGGCCUGCCGUAAAACCCCAACUCACGAAAUGUUGACCUCGGAUCAGGUAGGAAUACCCGCUGAACUUAAGCAUAUCAAUAAGCGGAGGA